AUUGACGAGUUAGUUACCAAGUAUAGAAUUAAUAUGGCACAAUUAUUCAAGUUGUUCUGUUUUGUAACUUCUGUAUUACUUCUUUUGCAGUUGGCAGAUGCAGUUAUUGGAAAAACUCCUAGUAAACGUGGUAAAUAAUA